rnacentral:rRNA from 1 species
GAUGAACGCUGGCGGCGUGCCUAAUACAUGCAAGUCGAGCGAACAGACGAGGAGCUUGCUCCUCUGACGUUAGCGGCGGACGGGUGAGUAACACGUGGAUAACCUACCUAUAAGACUGGGAUAACUUCGGGAAACCGGAGCUAAUACCGGAUAAUAUAUUGAACCGCAUGGUUCAAUAGUGAAAGUCGGUUUUGCUGUCACUUAUAGAUGGAUCCGCGCCGCAUUAGCUAGUUGGUAAGGUAACGGCUUACCAAGGCGACGAUGCGUAGCCGACCUGAGAGGGUGAUCGGCCACACUGGAACUGAGACACGGUCCAGACUCCUACGGGAGGCAGCAGUAGGGAAUCUUCCGCAAUGGGCGAAAGCCUGACGGAGCAACGCCGCGGGAGUGAUGAAGGUCUUCGGAUCGUAAAACUCUGUUAUUAGGGAAGAACAAAUGUGUAAGUAACUAUGCACGUCUUGACGGUACCUAAUCAGAAAGCCACGGCUAACUACGUG